rnacentral:rRNA from 1 species
UACGAAGGGAGCUAGCGUUGUUCGGAAUCACUGGGCGUAAAGCGCACGUAGGCGGAUGUGUCAGUCAGGGGUGAAAUCCUGGAGCUCAACUCCAGAACUGCCUUUGAUACUGGCGAUCUCGAGUCCGGGAGAGGUGAGUGGAACUGCGAGUGUAGAGGUGAAAUUCGUAGAUAUUCGCAAGAACACCAGUGGCGAAGGCGGCUCACUGGCCCGAUACUGACGCUGAGGCACGAAAGCGUGGGGAGCAAACAGG